rnacentral:rRNA from 1 species
AAAGAAAAUCUCCGCGGGAGCAGAGCGGUGACCGUACCAAAUCUGACACAGGAGGGCGAGGCGAAUAGCCUCAGGCGCGCGAGAGAACCCUACGUGAAGGAACUCGGCAAAUUAACCCCGUAAGUUCGCGAUAAGGGGUGCCCCCCGUAAGGGGGGCCACAGGAAAACGACAGCUGCGACUGUUUACUAAAAACACAGGUCUCUGCGAAGUCGUCAAAGACGACGUAUAGGGACUGACGCUUGCCCGCUGUUGGAACGUUAAGGUGACUGGUUAGCCGCAAGGCGAGGUUGGGAACCGAAGCGCCAAUGAAGGGCGGCCGUAACUAUGACGGUCCUAAGGUAGCGAAAUUCCUUGUCGGGUAAGUUCCGACCCGCACGAAUAGCGUAACGACAGCUGUACUGUCUCCACGAGGGACUCGGCGAAAUUGUAGUUGUGGUGAAGAUGCCACAUACCCGCACCAAGACGGAAAGACCCCGUGAACCUUUACUGUAACCUAAUACUGGCUCUAGGUUCACCAUGUGUAGCAUAGGUGGGAGACGUUAAUGUCGGGGGCGCCAGCCUCCGAAUAGUCUUCAGUGAAAUACCACUCUUGGCGAUCUUGGAGUCUAACCUGCGACCGUUAUCCGGCGUGGGAACAGUGUUAGGCGGGCAGUUUGACUGGGGCGGUCUCCUCCUAAAAGGUAACGGAGGAGUGCAAAGGUACCCUCAAUGCGGUUGGCAAUCGCAUGAAGAGCGUAAAGGUAUAAGGGUGCUUGACUGCGAGACACAUAGGUCGAGCAGGUACGAAAGUAGGUCUUAGUGAUCCGGUGGUCCCGUGUGGAAGGGCCAUCGCUCAUCAGAUAAAAGGUACUCCGGGGAUAACAGGCUGAUCACGCCCAAGAGUCCAUAUCGACGGCGUGGUUUGGCACCUCGAUGUCGGCUCAUCGCAUCCUGGGGCUGAAGGCGGUCCCAAGGGUUGGUCUGUUCGCCCAUUAAAGCGGUACGUGAGCUGGGUUUAGACCGUCGUGAGACAGGUCGGUCCCUAUCUGGUGUGGGCGCAGGAUGAUUGCGGAGACUCUUUCCUAGUACGAGAGGAUUGGAAAGAACGGACCUCUGGUGUGCCAGUUGUCGCGCUAGCGGCAUCGCUGGAUAGCUAUGUCCGGGCUGGAUAAGCGCUGGAAGCAUCUAAGUGCGAAGCCAACUCCAAGACCGGUCAUCCCAUGAGACACCUGGUAGACCACCAGGUUGAUAGGCCGGAAGUGUAAGGACAGCAAUGUUCUCAGCUAACCGGUACUAACCAGUCGAUCGGCUUGAUCC